GUUCACUUCCUGUCACACACACACACACCUCUCUCUCCAGCACAGUGUUUUUGGUUUCUUAAGUUGCUGUUUCCACUAUCCCUACUGAUCGGCUCACUUCCUGCCUCACACGCACACUCUCUCUCUCUCUCUGAAACACAGACAUACACACAUCAUCUCACACACAACAUACACACACAUAGAACGUGGUGGUUGGCUGGACAGGAAGUUGGCUGGACAAGGGAAAAACGAACAUACGGACAAAACAGACAGACACAACUCAGGAGGACCGGUUCCUUUCUCUCGACAAGUCAACCCUUUCAUCCAGAACUCAGGUACCUGUGUUUUCUAACAUAACAAUGUUCUCUAACACAUAACACUGUCUGACAUCAUGUCCUCCUGUUGAUUCUGUGGCAGAUUCUGUUACAGAAUAGAUUUUUUAUUUUUUAUACCUGAGACACAACAAGAAUUUGAACAAGAUACUAUGCUUUAACAAGACAAAGACAGAGACAACCAUAUGGUUAUCUGAGAUUUCCAUUCAUCUCUGUUUUUAGAUCCAGUAAACUAUCACAAAAGUUAUCUAUAAAAGUGGACAUUUAUUUGUGUGAAAUUAGAUUUUCAUUAAUCUCAUGUCUGUAACCAGAGUGACAAGUUUCUCUUACACCAGGAAAUGAGAGUAACACACAUGAACCCUUCAAUGUUUGUAGAUCCGUAAGGUGGAAGCUUCAACAUUACACUGUCUAUACCUAUCCAGACCCCACUACUAUACUGUUUAUACCUAUCCAGACCCCACUACUAUACUGUUUAUACCUAUCCAGACCCCACUACUAUACUGUUUAUACCUAUCCAGACCCCACCACUAUACUGUUAAUACCUAUCCAGACCCUACAGAUCCCCUACUAUACUGUUUAUACCUAUCCAGACCCUACAGAUCCACCACUAUACUGUUUAUACCUAUCCAGACCCUACAGAUCCACCACUAUACUGUUUAUACCUAUCCAGACCCCACCACUAUACUGUUUAUACCUAUCCAGACCCCAAUACUUAUAAAAUCGCCAGUCCCUAAUCCACUAUACUGUUUAUACCUAUCCAGACCCGACAGAUUACCCCACUAUGAAAAUGUGUCUUUUCCCCCCUCUCUCUAUAACCUCAUCCCCCACUACCCAACAAAAC
rnacentral:lncRNA from 1 species